AUUGAACGCUGGCGGCAUGCCUUACACAUGCAAGUCGAACGGCAGCACGGGUGCUUGCACCUGGUGGCGAGUGGCGAACGGGUGAGUAAUACAUCGGAACGUGUCCUGUAGUGGGGGAUAGCCCGGCGAAAGCCGGAUUAAUACCGCAUACGAUCUACGGAUGAAAGCGGGGGAUCUUCGGACCUCGCGCUAUAGGGGCGGCCGAUGGCGGAUUAGCUAGUUGGUGAGGUAAAGGCUCACCAAGGCGACGAUCCGUAGCUGGUCUGAGAGGACGACCAGCCACACUGGGACUGGGACACGGCCCAGACUCCUACGGGAGGCAGCAGUGGGGAAUUUUGGACAAUGGGCGAAAGCCUGAUCCAGCAAUGCCGCGUGUGUGAAGAAGGCCUUCGGGUUGUAAAGCACUUUUGUCCGGAAAGAAAUCCCUGGUCCUAAUAUGGCCGGGGGAUGACGGUACCGGAAGAAUAAGCACCGGCUAACUACGUGCCAGCAGCCGCGGUAAUACGUAGGGUGCAAGCGUUAAUCGGAAUUACUGGGCGUAAAGCGUGCGCAGGCGGUGAUGUAAGACCGAUGUGAAAUCCCCGGGCUCAACCUGGGAACUGCAUUGGUGACUGCAUCGCUUGAGUAUGGCAGAGGGGGGUAGAAUUCCACGUGUAGCAGUGAAAUGCGUAGAGAUGUGGAGGAAUACCGAUGGCGAAGGCAGCCCCCUGGGUCAAUACUGACGCUCAUGCACGAAAGCGUGGGGAGCAAACAGG
rnacentral:rRNA from 1 species